AGAGUUUGAUCCUGGCUCAGGAUGAACGCUGGCGGCGUGCUUAACACAUGCAAGUCGAGCGAUGAAGUUUCCUUCGGGAAACGGAUUAGCGGCGGACGGGUGAGUAACACGUGGGUAACCUGCCUCAUAGAGUGGAAUAGCCUUCCGAAAGGAAGAUUAAUACCGCAUAAUGUUGAAAGAUGGCAUCAUCAUUUAACCAAAGGAGCAAUCCGCUAUGAGAUGGACCCGCGGCGCAUUAGCUAGUUGGUGGGGUAACGGCCUACCAAGGCGACGAUGCGUAGCCGACCUGAGAGGGUGAUCGGCCACAUUGGGACUGAGACACGGCCCAGACUCCUACGGGAGGCAGCAGUGGGGAAUAUUGCACAAUGGGGGAAACCCUGAUGCAGCAACGCCGCGUGAGUGAUGAAGGUUUUCGGAUUGUAAAGCUCUGUCUUUGGGGAAGAUAAUGACGGUACCCAAGGAGGAAGCCACGGCUAACUACGUGCCAGCAGCCGCGGUAAUACGUAGGUGGCGAGCGUUAUCCGGAUUUACUGGGCGUAAAGGGAGCGUAGGCGGAUGAUUAAGUGGGAUGUGAAAUACCCGGGCUCAACUUGGGUGCUGCAUUCCAAACUGGUUAUCUAGAGUGCAGGAGAGGAGAGUGGAAUUCCUAGUGUAGCGGUGAAAUGCGUAGAGAUUAGGAAGAACACCAGUGGCGAAGGCGACUCUCUGGUCUGUAACUGACGCUGAGGCUCGAAAGCAUGGGUAGCAAACAGAAGUAGAUACCCUGGUAGUCCAUGCCGUAAACGAGCCUAGUGAGGUGUGGAGGGUUUCCGCCCUUCAGUGCCGCAGCUAACGCAUUAAGCACUCCGCCUGGGGAGUACGACCGCAAGGUUGAAACUCAAAGGAAUUGACGGGGGCCCGCACAAGCGGUGGGGCAUGUGGUUUAAUUCGAAGCAACGCGAAGAACCUUACCAGGUCUUGACAUCCUUUGACCACUCUAGAGAUAGAGCUUUCCCUUCGGGGACAAAGUGACAGGUGGUGCAUGGUUGUCGUCAGCUCGUGUCGUGAGAUGUUGGGUUAAGUCCCGCAACGAGCGCAACCCUUAUUACUAGUUGCCAGCAUUUAGUUGGGCACUCUAGUGAGACUGCCGGUGACAAACCGGAGGAAGGUGGGGACGACGUCAAAUCAUCAUGCCCCUUAUGACCUGGGCUACACACGUGCUACAAUGGAUGGUACAACGAGUUGCGAGACCGCGAGGUUUAGCUAAUCUCUUAAAACCAUUCUCAGUUCGGAUUGUAGGCUGCAACUCGCCUACAUGAAGCCGGAAUCGCUAGUAAUCACGGAUCAGCAUGCCGCGGUGAAUACGUUCCCGGGC
rnacentral:rRNA from 1 species